CCGAGGCGGACCGUGGGCGAUCGACUCGUCCCCUCAUAUACGGCACGCCCGUCCAGCCCAGAGAGCCAGAAGCGAGAAGCGAGCCAAACGUGCCGGAAAAGAAGCUCACCCUCGAACCCGAGCGGACUCGAGCCACCCCCAGAGCGGCGGAGCAGACGAGGGGGGAAUCCCGAUGGCGGCGGUGGCGAUGGACAUCGCGAAGCCCUCGGCGCUGCCGGCGAGCGUUGACGACCCGUCGGCGGCGUCGGCCAAGGGCAGGGCCGGCGGCGGGGAGGGCCUGCGCCAGUACUACCUGCAGCACAUCCACGACCUGCAGCUCCAGAUCCGGACCAAGACGCACAACCUCAACCGCCUCGAGGCCCAGCGCAACGACCUCAACUCUCGAGUUAGAAUGCUCCGGGAAGAGUUGCAGCUGCUUCAAGAACCGGGCUCAUAUGUUGGCGAGGUUGUGAAGGUCAUGGGCAAGUCAAAGGUUCUAGUGAAGGUUCAUCCAGAAGGCAAAUAUGUUGUAGAUCUUGAUAAAAGUAUUGAUAUUACAAAGAUAACCCCUUCAACAAGAGUUGCUCUUCGGAACGACAGCUACAUGCUUCACCUUAUCCUGCCCAGCAAAGUCGAUCCACUGGUUAAUCUUAUGAAGGUGGAGAAGGUUCCUGACUCUACCUAUGAUAUGAUUGGUGGUCUUGAUCAGCAAAUUAAAGAGAUCAAGGAGGUGAUUGAGCUUCCCAUCAAGCAUCCUGAGCUGUUUGAGAGUCUCGGAAUUGCCCAACCAAAGGGUGUCCUUCUUUACGGGCCUCCAGGUACAGGGAAAACAUUACUUGCUCGUGCAGUUGCUCAUCACACCGACUGCACCUUCAUCAGGGUGUCAGGUUCUGAGUUGGUUCAGAAGUAUAUUGGAGAGGGUUCCCGGAUGGUUCGUGAACUCUUUGUGAUGGCUAGGGAGCAUGCACCAUCCAUUAUAUUUAUGGAUGAAAUAGACUCUAUUGGAUCUGCUAGAAUGGAGUCGGGAUCUGGCAAUGGUGAUAGCGAGGUUCAGCGUACUAUGCUUGAGCUUCUGAACCAACUUGAUGGUUUUGAAGCAUCGAACAAAAUUAAGGUUCUUAUGGCAACAAAUAGGAUAGACAUAUUGGAUCAAGCUCUUCUAAGGCCUGGUCGUAUUGAUAGGAAGAUUGAAUUUCCAAAUCCUAAUGCAGAUUCCCGUGGUGAUAUUUUGAAGAUUCACUCAAGGAAAAUGAACUUGAUGCGUGGCAUUGAUCUGAAAAAGAUUGCCGAGAAGAUGAACGGGGCAUCAGGAGCAGAGCUAAAGGCGGUCUGCACAGAAGCUGGAAUGUUUGCCCUCCGCGAGAGAAGGGUGCACGUCACCCAGGAGGAUUUCGAGAUGGCCGUGGCAAAGGUGAUGAAGAAGGAUACCGAGAAGAACAUGUCGCUGCGGAAGCUAUGGAAGUGAGGCCCUUGUUUUAGCAUCCCAGCUUUCGCCGGCAUGUAUUGGUGGUUUAAGCUUAUAGCGGCACAUUUGCCGGAUUUGCUGCGGGUUUCUUGAACCGUGUCGACAGCUGUAACUUGCAGUGCCUUGCAGCUGCCUCAUCAGGGUUAAAUUUCUUUAUUGGGUUAUAUUAUGAGAUGUGAGAUGGAAACCGUUCUUUCUUGUAAUGUAUGUUGCUUUGUCGACUAGAUUGGUAGCCUCACUGUGCUGAGAACGGUGACUGCAAUGAUGUGUUUUACUUGAAUGUGGCAAAUGUUAUUUCUAGGGAAGCCAUUCUUCAUUGUUCUCUUUUGUCCAUCCAAAGGAAAAAAAAUAAGA
rnacentral:rRNA from 1 species